ensembl:lncRNA
GUCUUUAUGUAACUAAGGCAGACAUUCAAAAAACAAAGAAUAUUUGGAAGGGAGAGGUCACAGAAAGAAAGCUACUGAUUGAUUUAAUAUUAGGGUGUCUCAUAAAUGUAUGAAAGGGGCAGUACCCUUAUUUAUUAGUUAAUUGAAUUUAUUUUACAAGCAAAAUUGUUUGUUUUUAAUAACCAAUCACUUGGAAACUAAAGAACACAGAAAAAAAAUAUUCUUUAAGAUGCAACUCCACCAUGUAGAUUUUCAGAAAAAGCAAAUUUGGGUUGGAAUUUCUUUUUUAAUUUUUUAAAUUAGUUUAUUUUUUAAUUGAAGGAUAAUUGCUUUACUGAGUUGGAAUUUCUGCUUCACCAUUUCCUUACCAUUUGACUUUGAACAGAGAAUCUGGGAAAUGGGGGCUAAGACUUCUUAUAAACUUGUCAUGAAGAGAAAUGAAAUGCUUUCUGGUCCUGGUGUGUGCUACUGAACAGACAUAUAGGGGAAGAGUGAGCUAUGAGUUCAAUGGAUUAGACUGGAGAAACUAUCUAUGUCUUAUCAUCAGUUACGGAAACUGGUGAUAUAGUGAGAAAAACCUGGAACUCUCACUUGAGGAUUGGAGGCUCGUCAUUUAUGAUCUGACAUAUAUUAAUUAUUUUGAUCUCUAAAAGGAGGGCAAUGGCAUCUACUUUAAGAGGUAUUGAGGGGCAGAAAAGAAAAGAGCUAUUGAAAAAUGAUGGGAGUACCACAUGAAGAUUCUGGCACAGACUCAGUACACGUGUGUUUGUUUAAUUGAUUUUACUGCGAAGACUCAGACAACUGGGCAGAAGUGGGAUUCCAGGAAGGAGAUGGCCAGGUCAAAAUGCCAAUGACUGGAUGGAGGACGAGUGGUGGGAUGGUGGUAUCCAGUUUCAUAUCCACACAGAAGAGGAAAACCAAACUCAGAAGGCAAGAGAUAUGUUUUGAAGACUCAAAGGAGUCUUUGAGUGCAGGGAGUGAGGAAGAAUCAUUGAGUCUUAUGAGGCACGGUGCUAGAGCCUCAGAGCACUCUGUAAAUGGUACCCUUUAUCCUCUCCAAAAUUCUGAGCCAACUGAAGAAUAUGAAGGAAAAAGAAAGCAGAUGGAGAGCAAAAUAUUACCUUUGUUAUGAUUAAAGCUGGUGAAUGGG